CCCACAUCCUUAUCUAUGUGAUCGACUUUCAGGGUUUAAUUCUUGGGUAGUGUUAAAUGAAACGCUCCUCAGAGGGGCUGAUUUUCAUGCCAGACUAACUCUCAGUAUGUAAUCCCAUUUGUUUUUGAAAGAAAUGGCUGUAAAUAGAACGAAUUCGCGCAGAAUUUUAGUGGAAUGCUUAGGAAAACGAGUCCUCUUCUGAGUAGUACCUGUGAGUUGAAAAGGAAACAAAUGUCAUCUUCAGGAAGAAGACUUUGAAGAAAGUGAGAGUAGAAAUGUUCUCUUCUGGUAUCUGGUAAAAACAGGACCUAUGAAGUAUAUCUACCCAAGAAGGAGUCCUUCCCUGAAGACUCUUAUUUAGCUGUGGUCUUCUCUAUAGGAUUGAAAUUUAACAGAAGUAUCUAAUGAAGAGAAUCUGAAUGUAGCAGAUGAGAAAG